rnacentral:rRNA from 1 species
GUGGGGAAUAUUGGACAAUGGGCGAAAGCCUGAUCCAGCCAUGCCGCGUGUGUGAAGAAGGUCUUCGGAUUGUAAAGCACUUUAAGUUGGGAGGAAGGGCAGUAAGUUAAUACCUUGCUGUUUUGACGUUACCGACAGAAUAAGCACCGGCUAACUUCGUGCCAGCAGCCGCGGUAAUACGAAGGGUGCAAGCGUUAAUCGGAAUUACUGGGCGUAAAGCGCGCGUAGGUGGUUUUGUAAGUUGGAGGUGAAAUCACCGGGCUCAACCUGGGAACUGCAUCCAAAACUGCAGGACUAGAGUACGGGAGAGGGUAGUGGAAUUGCCUGUGUAGCGGUGAAAUGCGUAGAUAUAGGAAGGAACACCAGUGGCGAAGGCGACUACCUGGACUGAUACUGACACUGAGGUGCGAAAGCGUGGGGAGCAAACAGGAUUAGAAACCCGUGUAGUCC